rnacentral:lncRNA from 1 species
UUGUGUUUUGUCGUCCUAGUUGACUUAAGAGGCUUUUAAUCAACUAAAGAGGAGCACUUGAGGUUUUUGAGAAUAAUAUAAACACCUGUAUAUAUAUAUAUAUAUAUAUAUAUAAUGUAAAUAUUUAUACGAAAUUUCAAUAAAAAUAACAAUAGAAAACAAUUUGUUUUUUCCUUUGAGACUUAAAAGUGAUCCAUAAUCACCUGCUAGAUCAAUACUUUGUUUACUAUUAUUCAAAUAUUUUUCAUGAAUAUCGUAGAAUAUCAUGAUAGAAUAAAAGCAUUUGUAAAUUAAAGGAUAUUCCAAUAUAAAUGAUAUAUUUUGAUGAAAAAAUCCAUUUUUAGAAAAGAAACCUUAGUGAUGUAGUCUUUUGAGAUUUCAGAAGUUAAACUGAUGUCAACAGAUUAAAAUAGAAUAAUAAUUCACCUUCGUGGCUUACAAGUAGUAGUUAUUAGUUUGUUUUUUGUUUUGUUUUUGUUUUGUUUUUUUUUUUUUUUUUUUGGUCUUUUUGUUUUUUUACUGUUUAUGAAAAACCAUUGAAGCAUUUUUAACAUUCAUGAAAAUUAUUUUAAAGUUCAAAUCCAACAACACCUCAUUAUGUGGCAUCACAGCUGUAUCCUGAACUGAUUAGCUCUGAAGGGCCAAAAAACCAGAUAAUUACAUUGGACCUGGAUCUUAGAUCCCCAUGUACUUUGUGCCACGAGUAAUUGUCUCAGUGCUGCUCUCAUUCCACGAGUUCGCUGCCAUAAUAGAAAUACUUAAACGAGGAAUAGUUCCAUUCUUCCAGUUGGGUCAUGCUGGAAUAAAAGAGAACUUCCCUCAUAACUAUGUUAAGCUCACCGUUAAGGAUUAAAAAUGGAUGGAAAGUAGAAAGUGAAACUGUGGGAUAACGGUAAAGCAUUGCAUCUCAAAAACGUAGUUGUUCUGUACAUCUGUAGCUCUCAGAAAAGAUCUGACACCCGUGAGUACAAAACAAAGGGUGAAUGAAUCAUGACAUCCAAAGAAAAUCGGACUUGCGUAAAUAGGAAGAGAAGAGUGCCAGGUCGAGAAAGAAAUGGACCUGAGAAGUCUCAUUCAAGUUCUGCUUUGCUGGAAUGUAAGACUGAUUGGAUUUUUCGGUUGCGAACAGACAUGCUGUAACAAGCAAGAAAUAACAAAUUAUCUUUCAAAGCUGGACAAAAGGCCUUACAUGGAGUCACCAAUUGAUCUGAAAACUUGUUUCCAAAAGCUUUGUGGAAUCGGCACAGCAGCCUUAACAACCAAACACAGAUAACGAGCACUCACUAUGCAAGUACCGGUAGACUGUUUGAAGUAGCUGUCACUGAAUAUCAGAGGCGAUCAGCAUGUAUGUCAGAACUGUGAAAGACAAACGGAGCACAAGUAGUUUACAUAGGAAGGACACAUAAUACAUUAACAUUAUUUAAGUUCCCUGUCGCCUUUUGUAUCACACCAUUCACACGAGUUAUCCCAAUUUGGCAAGAUCUAUAUGUACAUCAAUAGGAGGUCCAAUACUUAAGACCAAAUCUUAUCAAGAAUUUGCCUCCACAAAAUCUUACUCCAGGUACUCGUUUAGAGUCGCCGCAGCUUCUGUUUGAAUUCUGCCCGAAGUCUUGCAAGUUCGUCCCGCCAUCGAAUCGCAUCACCGUAGCGCUCCUGCUUAGCGGCAACGAGCAUGCACAUCACCAUAGCCAUCUCGUCUUGGAAAACAUCGGGUUCAUACGAAUUAAAAGAUUCUGCCAAAAUAGAACUUCUUUUCCUCGGGAUGUUGAGCUCCACCCUCCUUGUGAGUUCAACCUCCGUCACAGGACGCACGGCAUCCGCCCUGAUGAUGCUGCUAUUCACAUAAAUUGGAACCUUGCAACGAACCGCAUAGUUGAUCGCAUCCGAUGGCCUUGCAUCCACACUCACAAGCUCUUCCUCACCAGGCUUGCCCAAGUAAAUUCUGGCGUAGUAAGUAUCCACAACUCGGUCGGUAAUCCUCACCAUCCUGGGCUCAUAAUGCAAACUCUCCACCAUAUCACGCAUGAGGACAUAGUAAUUGGGACGACUGGCAUGCUCGUCGUCGUGCAAGGCCCUCAUGAGCAUGCUCACUGCGGCUUCGCCCACAACAAUCGGCAGCAUCAAGUUCGACCCAUCUGUGACCUUCAAAAAGAUCGUCGGAGUACUGGAUUUGUAAAGCAAACGCCCCUUGGCAGGGUUGAUAUGAUCAACUUCCAUCUCCAUUCCAUUUCCCAGUGUCAUAAGCAGCUUGCCAUGGAAUGGCACCAUGCUCACAGCAUCCAUCACUUGCGCUUCUAGAUACUCACUCGUACUGUUACCUCCGCCGUUGUCCCCUCCUUCGACAUGGCUAUUCCCACCGCUCGAGCUCUCGUACGCCGCAUUCACUGCACUCCUCUUCUUCACCCUCCUCGCCUCACCGAUACCACCCCACACAGCCCCCUCGUACCUCAACCGACGUGAAACCCCACGAAAGGCAACCCUCGUCCCGCAACGCUGCACCGAAUUGCAUUCAACCACCUCAGAUCGAACUGCACCCGCACCGCCGACCUUCACUCCAACCACAUGAUGCACAGCUUGUAAAGUCUCCAUGUACGAUAAAAACAAGCUCCAACUCUCUCUCUCUCUCUCUCUCUCUCGUUCGUUCCCGCAACACGAAAGGCAAAACUUCUCCCGAUUGAUUAAAUCCUUCCCUCACUCCGAUUCCUUCCUUCACUCCACUUCAUUCCACCACACCAACCAACAAUGACCCGCACCCUGAAACAAAAACCAUUAGAAAUACCAAUUGUACAAAUAGUUAAGAAGGUGCGGAAUGGAAUUGGCUGCAGCGUUCACGCGAUCGGCUAUGAAGGAGGAGCUGUGGAGAUUCCCGCUGCGAUCAAGGACCCCCUUUCCUUCAUGGCAAGUACACAUGCACGCGGGCACUCACUCCACGCCCAUCACCACGCCCCCACUAUGGCGAUGAACGUGUUCGUUCGUUCGCCAUCGUGGAAUACAUCUUCUCGUUAUUAGAUUAGACUAAACUAGUCUAUGGCACCAUCUUCUCUGUCGUUGUGUUUUUCCAUGGCCGAGUAGGUUUCUACUCGUUAAUUUUUGUUUCAGCAUCGUGUUGUUCGCGACUAUCUGAGCCGAAUUCGUUACCUCUGCCGCGAGAGUAUAACUGUAAUUCUUACCGUCCACGACGAUGGCCAGGCUAUAGCCAAUUUUUAGAUGCCUCGGACGGUUUGUUUCACAUCGAUAUUACUGGAGAAUGGUCUAUUCUGUUAGUGUGACGAAGGGGAUUUGUAACUUUGUGUGCACCAGGGAUGGUGUUGUAAGAUGAGUCGAGGGGAGGGGAGGAUGUGAAAGUUCAUCGCGGUUGUGAUCGACGGCAGAGUGUGACGAGGAUCAGUGAUCGAUUUGGAUGUGCUUCCGAUUUUUUGGUUAGCAUCGUGAGAUGAUGGAAAGAAUUUGUGAACGUUGCAUCAGCUCAUCAACCUAUCCAGAACAGUGAUUCGAUGCAUCUCCACUUGGCACGGUGGAGUCAGCGAGGAGAUUAUCUCUGCUGACGAUGCCAAUGCAUGGGCACGGACGCCUAAUAGCGAGCUUUCGAUCACGUCCUUAUCCUCCAGGGUUCUGUGAGUCCGCGGAGAUAGCAUUCUUCGCAAGGAACUUCGUGUGUUUUUGGCGUACCCGUCGGGUAUCAAUAUUUGAAAGCGGUUCUCGAUUAUGGUGGUGUCUCCUUGCUUGAGGAAGGUUUUUGUUUACCUCGCGUCCCAUGAAGCAGCGCUAUUGUGAUCCAUUGCGUCGUCGUCUCUGACAGGAUUCGAAGUGCGUGCUAGCGAUCUGUGGACGUUGGCGGAAGCUUGUUUCGGACGUAGUGUUGAUAGCGGCUGCCCUUGGGGAUGUUGCGACACUGACGAGGCUGUCUAAGGCAGCCUGUUCUCGUGUCGGUGACGUUUCAUAGUGUGCGGCGUUUUGGGAAGAGGUCGAAGAACUGGCAACGGUGUAGACGUGGCCUUUCCCAUCUGACGCGUAGAAAUUCCUGACUCGCGUUCCAGCAAGGGGAGUUCGACGACCUGGAAUCAUCAGAAGCAUUUGACACGGUGAGCAUAAUUUGCCAUUGCAAGUCUAUUUCAGCAUAAUGAAUUGUUUUUAGAGCUCAUUUUUUUCUGCCUGGUAUUUUCUUUUUCAAUUUCUGUAAGGUGAUAUGAAGGCAUUGUAGGGUUUUUUCUGUUCUGGUUUGAACUCAUGAAUUUGUUCUUAAAAGUCUUACACAUAUUUUUUUACAAUCAAAUUGAUCAACUAGACAUGCAAUCCCUUGACGAGGAUUUGAUUUGUUGAUAUCAAAGUUGAUGGAAUGACCAAAUCAUUAAAACAUAAUUUUUUUAUUAUUAUUUCAAAUUUCAUGUUCAUUUUCAUAAUUAGUUUUUAGGUUUCUUUUCUAGUUGCAUCACAAACUUCUAUAAUGUGUAUACAAAAGAAAUUCAAUUUUAGGCAUUUAAAAGACAAAGUUAAGUCUUUAAGGUCAAAGAAAAAUUGACUUUAUUGUGAAUGUUGCAAAAUUAUAUGUUGAAAAAUUAACAAAUCUACUAAUUUUAUAUUUAAAAUUGAAAUUAAAGUAAUUUGAUGCAACUUAAGUGUAAAAUUCAUAGAUAUGGUUGUAGCAACAACUACUUGAGAUUAUAAUAUAUUAUUUAUAAAACUAAAUAAAUAAUAAGUAUUUUUUUUAUUUUAUAGUUUUGUUGUUGUAAGGCAUAAAAAUAAAAAUGGUUUGUAAAUAAUUUCUAACUAAUAAUUAACCUUUAAAAUUAUGGUGUAAUUCUUAUCUACAUCAAGUUGUAUAUUCUUAAUAUAUGAUAGACAUCAUAAUUCUUUUUUGAGAAGUUUUAGUCUAGAUAGCUUAACAAUCAUAUUGAAUCAAAUAUAUAUUCUUUUUUUCUUUUCUUUUUUUUUUAUUUUUUCAUCUACUUGUAAAAUCUUUUUUAAUUAGAGUAGAAAUACAAUAAAUUUGUCCUCAAUUGCUUGUAAAAAAAUUAAAGCAAACAUCCAAAGAAUCUUCAUCAUUAACUUCGUUUGUCUUCAAGUAUUACAUAUCUAUCUUCAUUACAUCAAAAGUUAAAACUUAGCCAAUAACAUUGUGAAAGAAAAGAUCAUUCACAAUAUAAGGAAUUUGGAACUUGUCAGAUUCUAUCUUUGUUACUAUUUCUUUUGCCUAAUUUUAUAAAGUUUGCUCAAGUUGUUGAUAUACCACAUGCAAAUUACCAAUCAAAAAUUGUAAUUAUUAUUUGAUGGGUGUAUGUGCCUUCUCUAUCCUUAAAAUUAUUAUAUUGCCUAAAUGUACAAUGCAGUGUUGUAUUUUGUGAAGUCUUGCUUAAGAAUGCAUUGGAUAUUUAGUUGAGGAAGGUAGAAUGAAAAUUACAACAAAAAGAUACUAACAAUUCUAAUAAAAAAUCAUAAAUAAACUCCAAUUAAACCUUAAUAAUGCUAAUCAAGCUUUAAACAAAUCCAAAAGAAAUUUUUAAAAAAUAUCAAAGAAAUCUUAAAUAAAUCUUAAAUAAAUCUUAACAAAAUCCUACUUUAAUCUUAAUUAAAACCUUAAUGGUCUUUAACCAAAUCCUAAGUUGCACCCUAAUCCUAAAUCAAAUCCUAGAUAAACUUUAAAUCUUAAAUCAAACCUUAGAUAAAUCCUAAAUCCUAAAUCAAAUCCUAGACACACACUAAAUCCUAAAUCAAAUCAUAAAUAAAUCCUAAACUCUAAAUUAAACCUUAGACAAAUCCUAUGAGAGAUUAGAACGUCAAUAUCUAUUGAUUAAAUUGCUGAUCUUGCUUAAAACUUUACACACCUCUCAACCUCUAAGUUAAAUGCUAGUACAACAAAUUUGAAGAUAAUUUAUUUUAUGAAAUUGAAGAAAAAUCCUAAAGUCCAUUCAAGUGUUGGCCAGACUCUUAUUCCAAUCUAAAUAUUGAACUUCUAGUACCAAUAUCUCUCAUUUGAACUAUUCAUUUUCUUCCAAAUUUCAAUUAAACUAUGAGAAAUCAGGUAUAGUCUCCAUAUAAAAAAAAAUUAUUUCAAUUCAAUCAAUAGAUUGCUAAAGAUCUUAAAAAUAUUCACUAACACUCAAAUUCUAAUUUUUGAAACCUUAACCCACAAAAACUUUUUCACUUUGAUCUAAUUAUUUGAUUGACCUUAAAUUCACAACACACAUCAAAUACAAUUAUAUUCACCAACUUAUAAAAUUAUACCUAUAGAUCUACUACAAAACUUUCAAAUUUGUCCAAAAAGUCAAUCUUAUUUUAUUUCACAAAAAUCCAAGUCAUGCAAAAUAACCUUGACUUUAUAAAGCUCUUACAAAGUCAUUACAAAUCCAAAUCACUAAAAACUAAUAGUCAUAGAAAUCCUAUUAAGUUUCUCUCAAAUUCCACUCUCUAAUUUGCCAAAGAACCCUAGAGUCAUUGUAGGUGUAUGGUUUUGUGCCUCAAUAUCUGAUUUUGACCCAAGUUGACAACUGGUCCUCUCCGGAUAUCAAUUCUUGACUUUUUGAGGUAAUUUUUGCUAUAAUCUAUUCUAAACUUCCUCUUACACAUGCUUAUGUCAUUUUAUUUUUCAAUCUACUUUAUUUUGCUUUAUUUAUUGUCGUAUAAAGUAAAUAGAAGCCUAUUUUGUAAAAAGGUAAUAAUAAUAUCUUUUAAUUUUACUAUCUUUUUGACUAUUAUGUAUUUUUUAAGAUAUUUUUUAUAAUAUUUUAAAUUAAGAUCUUCUAUAAUAUAAUUUUUUUUCUCUCUUUCAUUCAUUAGCCAUAUUAUAUCAUGAUAGUAGUCUAUUCAAAUAUAUAUAAAGUGCUGUUUGAACCAAAUCCAAUUUUGUUCUUGAUAAGAAAGUAUAUAAUAUCCUACAAAUUAUAUUUGAAGUUGUUGCGAGUUAUCUUGGAAUGCUUCUUUAGUCUUUUUCUGCACUAUAUUAGUCUAACAUUUAUAAAAAAAUAUGCUAUCAUUUAUUGUGACAAAAUGACUCUAAUAACUACUCAAUUUGUUUUUUUGAUAUGCCACAUGAAACAAGACCAGUCUAUCUCAAGUAUCCAAGAUCAUUUUAAUCCAUAGCAAUAUAAAACUUCAUUUCAAAGUAAGAUAGUUGAACAAGAACAAAACUAAAAAAAACUAAAUAGAUUAAAAUACAUAAAAUAAAACUGAGUAACAGGAAUUAAAACUAAAUAAAAUAAAAUAAAAAGAUACAAAAUCCAAUUAUAUUAAGAAAAAAGGUCUAAAGUUAUACGUGACCACAUGCCUCAAAAGGCCUUAGCUGGUUCUAUUUAUAUUUUAUUCUAUCACCUUGGACUUUCUAAAAUAUUCUUAAAUGAUAGAUCAUACUUAGAUAAUCACCUUAAAUUCUUUCUAAAAGGUUCUAUAGUGGGUCCUACCUAGAUAAUUAUUUUAAAUUCUUUCUAAAAUAUUCUAUGGUGGAUCCUAUCAAGUCCACUUACCUAAUCCCAAUUCUAAAAACUUCCAUAACUUCUCAAACAUGAUUUUAACUGUCUAUUCCUAUGUAUAAAUAAUAUAAAUAUCUUAUCUAUAACUUGUUACAGUUAAUCCGCCUCCACUAAUAUGAAACAUCCUCGAUUUACUCCCAAUAGAUGAAUGAAUGGUACUUGCUUGAAUACUACGUUAUGUAUUUUAUUAUGUUGACAUGAUUCAUAGUAAUGUACAAAAGUUUAAACAUCAUGAUCCAAACCAUGCCCUUAAAAUUUGUUAUAGAAUCUUCUCUUGUCCCAAAUGUCUAGAUAUUGAGAUAUCAUAUCCCUCUUGUAAUAUGUGCAUUCAAUAGAUAGCAUUGUUGGAUAUAUAAAUUUGCUUCUUGAAAUAGAGUAAGCCAUCACUAAUACUAUAAUCUUGAUAUUAUAUAUCAUCUACCUUCAAUCGAUCGCUAAUCAUCUUAAAAUAAGCAUUCCAAUAUGUAGCUUCCUUCUAUUUUGAGUCUUUGGUUAGAUUUGAAAUGAUAUUACUAAUGGUAGCAUCUUUUAUCUUGUCUCUUGAUUUAUCAUUUAAGUUUGGUCUAUACAAUAAGUUAUCUGGCAUAAUAUGUUAUAAUCCUUGCUUGUACUGAAGCUGAAUAUCAAAAAGCCUUCUAAGCUUCCGUGAUUCAUACACCAUGACUUGAAGACUCCUACAAAAAAUUUAUUGAAGGAUCACUUCAAUAGCAAAGUCGGAAGUAUCAAUGUCUAGCAUACAAUGAAGGUUGAGACUACAUGGCUACAAUACCAGAAUAAUAAUGAGUACUUCUUUCAACCUAUCAAAGGUGCUUUGCUACUCCAAUUUUCAUUUAAAUGAGGCAUCCUUCUCCAACAGAUUUAUCAAUGAGGCAACAAUGUGUACAAAUCGCUGAACAAAAUGACAAUAAUAUCCAACAAGGCUUAAAAAUGAGUAGACCUUAGAAGCAUCUUUAGGAAUUGGCCAAUCCUCUAUCGCUUUCACCUUAUCUUACUCCAUAUAUACACCUUUAGAAGACACCACAUGCCUCAAAAAAAUAAAUUUUGACUUUUAAAGUUCAUAUUUUGAUUGCUUGCAAUAGAAGCAAUUAUUUUGUAGCUGACAUAAUACUUCUCAUAGGUGUUGUUCAUGCUCUUUAGGAAUUUUAUUAUAUAUGAGGAUAUCAUCAAUGAAAACAACUAUAUACUUGUCUAAAAGGUUCCAAAACAAUCUGUUCAUGUGACCCAUGAAAGAAAUUGAAACAUUUGUGAAGCCAAAAAGUAAACUAACCAUUUAAAAUGUCUGUAGUAUGUACAAAAUGUCAUCUUUUCUACAUCUUCUCUUCCAAUAGGUAUCUAUUAAUAGCUGAUUCAAAGAUCCAAUUUACUAAAGGUGGUCACACCUUAAAGUUGGUCAAGAAGAUCAUCUAUGCAUAGAAGUAGAUAUGUGUUCUUAAUAGUUUGCUUAUUGAGACCUCAAUAGUCCAUGCAAAGCCAAAGUCUACCAUCCUUCUUGAAUGCAAAGAAUACAUAUGCUCCCUAUGAUGAUAUACUUUCUCAAGAGUUUGUUCAAUAUCUUCUAUAGUUCUUCAAGUUCUUUUGGUACUAGGUGAUAAAUUGAUCAACUAGUUGGUUUGACUUGAAGCAAUAAUUCUAUUUGAAAGGAAGCAUCUUGAUUAAGAGGCACACAACUAGGUAGGUUGAUUGGAAAGAUAUUCUAAUAUUCUUGUAUGAGUUGAUCUGCUCAUUCUACUCCUUUGACUAUCUUUUCUAUCACUAUUGCAAGAUUUAGAACUAUCAUAUAUAUUGAUUUUUUAUGUUGUAUUUUUUUUUUUUUUUUUUUUUUUUUUUUUUUUUCUAUAAAGGUCGUUCCUAUGAGUAUGUCUUUGGUUACAAAUUUUCUUUCUUCUUCACUUGAUGUGGAGGUGCAAAGAUUCACCUUACAUCUACCAUCUUUAAAGGAGAUUAUUCUUGCUACCAAAAUAAACUUGUUUAUUUUUCAUCUUUAGCCAUGACAUAUCAAAGAUAAUAUCAUAUCUUAGCUUUGACAUCUUGAACUUUUUUCUUAAGAUAUAGUUGUCAGUGUACCUCAAGGUUUCUUCUUCAUAUGUCUCACUUAAUAUGUUCUUUCAAUCAUCUACAAGGUAUAUGCUUCUUCUCUUGAUUUUCUUAAUUUUAAUUCUAAAUUGGUUGGCAAUUUCAGUUGAAAUAUAAUUUAUUGUAGAACCAAAAUCUAUAAGCAUUCAACAUGGUUGUCCUCUUAAUAGUCUUGUUAGAUACACCAGUCAACUUUUUUUAUAGUUAUCUCAAGCCAUGCCACUUGUUUUUAAGAGAUAGUAGCUAUUUUCAAUAUUGGCUUUCAGCACCUUUACAAGGGAGCCCUAUUUUUUUGCUCUAUCUCAUUAUUGCCUUGAUGAGUUUCAAGACUUUGAACCAGCCUUAUUUUUCUGGUGCUUGAAUUUUGACGUUUUCAACAACCUCCAAUCUGUUGGCCUGACUCCCAACAAUAGAAACACAAUCCCUUUUGUACCAAUAUUUUUCAUCUUUAUAGUAUCAAUAAUUGUUGUAUGACAUCAAUCUCCAUUAGCAUUGAUUAUUGUAGUAUAGUGUUAGAUAGCGGCAUAAGACUUCGUACUAUAGGUCUUAAUCCAUAAUUUUUGAAAUCUAUAACAUCAAUCCUCUCUAAAAUCCAAAUUGCCUCUUUGAAUGUUUAUGGAUCCUUUAGCUCCAUCUCUUGUUGGAUGCCAAGUUUCAACCCUUGUAGGAAUUGAUCCAUCAUCUCCGCCUAUAAAUAUUGUCAAUUUCGAAACAAAGGAACUUAAAUUAAGAGACAUAAUCUUGUAUCAAUUUAGAUUGUGUAAGAUUUACCAACUGAUUGCAUAUUAUCUUCUCCGCAUUGAUGGAUCAAAAUUGAUUCUUAAACUUGGUCUCAAAUUCCUCCCAAUUACAAAAUCCAAUUUGAACUCCAUAGCUUUGAACUCAAUGUUACUACCAAAUGGUUGCUACAUCUCUCAAAUAGUUAGUUGCAUUCAUAAUUCCUUCAAUGGUAUUUGUCCCAAAUAGUUGGAGGUAUUUCUAUAUAUUGAAGAGCCAUUAACAUAUAUCUUCUUGUCUUAAAGUCCCAGAGUAUGUCGUAAGCUUAUUCCAUUUUAGAGUAGCAAGUAUUGACUUCCUUGUCUUUCAGGCUUUUAUUUGCUCUUGCAAAGUAACUAUCUAGCUUAAGAGGUGUUAUAUUUGAGCCUCCAUCUAGGAUUGCUUUGUUAUAUCUUCCAUGCUAUUAUUUAUCCAUUAGACUCUACUAUUAUAAUGUCUUCUUACUUCCCAAUUGACUUUUGAAGAAUAGCUCAUGGUAGUCUCAACAUAAUAUUUAGUGUGACUACAAAAACUAAUCUUAGACUACAUGAUGACUAUUGAUACACUACCAAAGAACAAUCUAAUAUUUGCUAAGAUACCAAUAAAACAAGACCAGUCUAUCUCAAGUAUCUAAGAUCCUUCUAAUCUACAAUAAUAUAAAACUUCAUCACAAGACAGGACAACUGGACCAAAACAAAACUUAACAAAGCUUAACAAAAUUGAGUAAUCGGAGUUAGAAUAGAACAUAAUAAAACAGAAAGGUAUAAAAUCCAAUUGUAUUAAAAAAAAAGAUCCGAAGCCAUAUUUGACCAAAUGUUCUAAAAGGCCCUUGUUAGUCUUAUUUAUAUUUUAUUCUACCACCUUGGACUUUCUAGAAUGUUCUAAGAUGAUGAACCCCACUUAGAUAACCACCUUAAAUUCUUUUUAGAAGAUUCCAUGGUGGACCAUAUUUAGAUAACAAUCCUAAACUCUUUUUAGAAUGUUCUAUAGUAGAUCCUAUUUGGUCCACUAAUCUAACCCUCAAUUCUACAAACUUCAAUGGUUUUAACUAUCUAUUACUAUGUGUUAAUAAUACAAAUAUCUUAUCUAUAUUCUAUUACAUCACAUAUAUAGGAGCAAUUGAGUAUUUUAAAAUAUAAUAGCAAGAUCAACUUGCAAUCUAUUACAAUCAUUUUAAAUAUAAAAUCCUUAUACAUAAGGUCAUAUUUUGACAUAAAAUCUAAUUAUAAUCUUCUUCUAUUUUUGAUUGUACAAAUACAAAGUAUGAAGAAAAAAUGGUGUUAUGCUAACUAUAUAGAUCAAUGACAUUUGAACUUAUUGGUCUUGUAUAUGUAGCCUAUCAAUAUUAUUAUUUUAUUUUUUUGGUUGCCUCAAUUACUAGUUUUUUAGUAAAAAAAAAAAAAAAAAAAAAAAAAAAAAUGAGUGAUUUAGCUAAUUUCAUCAUAAUCUAUGUGAUGUGCAUAUUUGUCAUUUUGUAAUUUUAUAAACAAGGACUUGAAUUGAUGUUUGUGUAUUCAAUAUCUAUUGUUAGACUUUUUUAUAUUAUAUAUAAUUUAAGUGGUUGUUAUAAUGCUUGGAUUAUAUUCUUAGAGUAUUGUCAAGAUUUGAGUUAAUCAAAUUUUCAAUGCUGACAUUUUUUGGACUUGUUUUAGCUUCUCUACAUCAAAUUAACAAUACAUCAAAUGUCCAAAUAUCACCUACAAAGCAUUGUAGUUGUAAUCUCUAUUUUUAACUUUGAGAUGCCUCAGACUGUUGAUUUUUUUGCUAUAGAUGAAUCAAAAAGGAUAAUCAAUCAAAUGUCAAGUUGUGUUUUGUAACUAUAUGGUUUUCAUCAAAUUAAAGUAGUUUUUGUAGUAUCUACUUUUUCCACAAGUUAUUAAUAAUUAAUAAUUGAUAUUAGAAUAUUUGAUGGUAGCAAAAUAUCUUUGAUCAAAUAUAAUAUACAAACAUAUUCUAGUAAUACUUCACAACUUUAAAAUCAAUUUGCAAUAUAAAGAAGAAGUGGCAUUAUUAUUGUUGGAGAGAACAUACCAUUACCAAAACGCUACUUUGAUGACCUCAAAUAAGAAACUAGAACAAGCACUGCAAAAAACUCACUACAAUAAGUAUCAACAUAUGCUUGGCUCAAGUAAAAUUACUUAAUUAAAUGAAGGAAGAAUAUAGAAUUAAUAUUCAAUGUCAAACUUUUAAAAGUUACAUAAAUACUUACUUACAACUAAGACUAUUGGAUGAAUGAUAAGAAUUUCAAACCUCAAAAAAUAACAAACACUUGAAUUAAAAUGGUUGUUGAGUUGUCUAUAAUAAGACUUCUCAAAAAUAAAUUAUAAUAUUUACUAUGCACUAGCAAUAUGUGGCGUAGGGUGGAUAAGAACUACAUAUUCAACACUAUGAAUUAAAUAUCCAAAAGUGACAUCAUCAAUAAGUUCAAUAUAAUAUGAUAAAUAAUGUAGUCAAUAGAGAAGAUAAUAUAAUUAUACAUAGUUCAUUAUUAAAUUAAACAAACUUGAAUUGACGUGAUACAAUGGGCAACUUUAAUACCUCUAACAACUUCUUAAAUGAAGUGGAAGUAGUAUUAAAAUUAGGCAUAUAAAUUAUAUGAAGUGCAUUUAAUAAAUAUCUAGAAAUAAUAUAAUUUAUUAUAAAAAAUAUUAAAAUUUAAAAUGGUUAUUUUUUAUUUUUUAAUUUUACUAAUUUAAUUUAAUAGAAAUAUAUUAAAAAAUUAUAACUAUAAAAAGUUAUUAAAAAAUAAUUUUUGUAUUUUAAAAUUAUUUCAAUUAAUUAUAAUUACUUAUAAAAAUAUAAUUAUUUUAUUUCUACUUUUAUUUAUAAAUUUUAAAUUAUCAUAAAUUUGAUUUUUUUUUCUUUAUUUUUUAGUAAUUAGAUUUAUUAAAUUAAAAAAUAGACUUAAACGAAGUAUUAAUGAUAUAAAAUUUGAACUAUUCAUAAUGUAUAAUUACUUCUUUUGAAACAAAUUAUCAUGUUCUUUUGUUUUGUAUACAAAUGUAAUUUUAAAAAUAUAUAUCUUAUAUAAUUUUUUUUGUAUUAUUUUUUUUUCUAAGAUGUAUAUUUAAGUUGAUGCAUUAUAAUUAAUCUAAAAAAAUAUAAAAAAAAAUCAAUCUUUUUCAUAAACAUUCAAACAUGAUAUAGAUUAAAAAAAAAAAUAGUUGAUAAAGAUCUCAACCCUACAAAAGUCAUUAUUAAGACAACCUCAUGUUUUGAGGUUAUCAAAUAUCUUCUAUGUUUUCUAAAAGUAUAUUGGUAUAAAAACAAGAAAAAUCUUGUAUUUAUUACUAACUUUUAUAUUAAAGAUGACUAUCUAAAGAAUAGCAUUUAAGUAAAAAAUUCUCCUUCUUGAGUAUGUUCAUGCUCAUGGAAUAGUAAACAAAGACAAAUCUUUUCCAAUACAUAUAAUUUAAAAUUCUCAUAAGCCACAAAUUAUGGUGCAUGUGAAAAAUAAGUGAAUUGUAACAAAGGUCUCAAUUUUGUCUCUAACUACAAUUAGUGAUUCCACUUCUCUUCCUUCAUUUUUAUUACACCAAAUAUAAUUCUCUAUUUGAAAAAAAAUAUAUCCUCAUCCUAAGCCCAAUUUCUGUGGUCUUAAAGGCUAACAAGACAAAUAAAUCCAAAUACAUGUAAAACCUCUACAUUAGAUGAAUGUCCACUACAAUUGCCCAUUAGAAACACAUUCUCAAUCCACAGAUUCAAUGUCAAAGAAAACCUAAAACCAACACCCAAAUUUGCAAAAAUCAUCAUCAUCCCCACACCCACUCCGACCCUGAAACCCUAAUCCAAGAGGAAGAGUCAGCAGUGAGCAGAACACCACCACCACGGAUGCCAUGAGUAAUAAGCGAAGGUGACAACAGUGAAGGCCCUCCAGGUACAGUGAUGGAUGAUGAUGUAUUGUCACUCCACAGGCAAGUGGGGUGAGAGUGACAGUGUUUGUGCCCUGCCUCGUCAUCCCCGCCCUGCUUUCCUGACUCAGCCAUAUCCACACUUCCUCCUCCGCCACCACGGCACACAUAUAUAAACCCCUCCCGCACUCUGCGCUGACCCACCUCACUAAUUGCUCCAAUUCUUCAAGCUCACCACGGAUCCCAUUCCUUCACCUCAUUCUCGCAAUUACCCUUCUCACCAUUUCACUGAAUUCGCUGCCCCCUGGGAGGUCGGAUUUGUGACAUUGGAUCUGCUGAUUCCCCAGGGGAGUGUGUGAGUGUUUGUUUUUGAGUCGUCGUCGUCGUCGUCGAGAUGUGGACUCUUGUGACGCCUCUAUUUGCACAAGGUUGCAAGAGCUUGCAGUGUAGUAAGAACCGGGUGCUGGGGACUGGGGCGAUCGUGCUAGGAUCGCAAGCGCGGACUACUAAGUGCGCGCCUCUGGUGUACGUCCCGCUGAAGGACUUUGAAGUGGUCGCUCUUCAACAAUUGUCGUGAUGGGCUCAUGUCAUUUUUGGUUGUAUAUAAUUAUUUUGCCCGCCUUCGUGGAUGGGCGCAUCAUGGAUAACUGAAUUAGGAGAAGCUGAGUGUUGGGGUUCGGAGAAAAAUUGCACUGAUCAACUACUUGCGUGUCGAAUGGGAAGCGGAGCUGCUAUGGUGGCUUUUAUUUGACCCCCAGCCCCAGGUUUUGGAUCAGGAACUUGUCCUGUGGUGGACGGGUCAAUGUCUUCGCGGCUGUUCUUGGCGGUAGAGGGCAAAACUGCUACAAUCAGGAGAACCUUGUAAAGUGAUGCGCGGUGAUUGAUAAGCUAGCCAUGGCUCAUUGGGCCAAUUGUUGAAAGCGGCACUUGAUAGACUAGGAAUAUAAUGUAAAUGAGGACUGCUCGCAUGCGUAUCAUGCUUGUAAGAUUAAACUCGGUACUCAGUGCAAUGAAGGAGUUGCAUAUUCUCGUACUUGUUAAGAGCCUUAUACCCAUGAUUCGUUUCAGAAACUUCCUUUUCAUAUCUCCACUACCAGCAAUGCGUUGAUACGAAUGAUGCAUUGUACAUUUUAGUUUCUUCGUCCACUUGAGACUAAUAUUUGGGAUAUCACAAGAGAAAACGGCACAGUUGGUACAAUCCAGUUUCAUGUCCUUGUCACAACUCUUUGCAAACAAUCAAC